rnacentral:rRNA from 1 species
GUAGGGAAUAUUGGGCAAUGGAGGCAACUCUGACCCAGCCAUGCCGCGUGCAGGAUGACGGCCCUCUGGGUUGUAAACUGCUUUUAUACGGGAAGAAAAAAUACUACGUGUAGUAUACUGACGGUACCGUAAGAAUAAUGAUCGGCUAACUCCGUGCCAGCAGCCGCGGUAAUACGGAGGAUCCAAGCGUUGUCCGGAUUUAUUGGGUUUAAAGGGUGCGUAGGCGGAUCUGUAAGUCAGUGGAGAAAGACUGCAGCUUAACUGUAGAAUUGCCAGUGAAACUGAAGAUCUUGAAUGUGGUUAAAGUAGGCGGAAUGUAUCAUGUAGCGGUGAAAUGCUUAGAUAUGAUACAGAACACCGAUAGCGAAGGCAGCUUGCUGAACCAUUAUUGACGCUGAGGCACGAAAGCGUGGGGAGCGAACAGGAUUAGAAACCCGUGUAGUCC